rnacentral:rRNA from 1 species
UACGUAGGGUGCGAGCGUUGUCCGGAAUUAUUGGGCGUAAAGGGCUCGUAGGCGGUUUGUCGCGUCGGGAGUGAAAAUCCAGGGCUUAACUCUGGACUGGCUUCCGAUACGGGCAGACUAGAGGUAUGCAGGGGAGAACGGAAUUCCUGGUGUAGCGGUGAAAUGCGCAGAUAUCAGGAGGAACACCGGUGGCGAAGGCGGUUCUCUGGGCAUUACCUAACGCUGAGGAGCGAAAGUGUGGGGAGCGAACAGG